rnacentral:rRNA from 1 species
UACGGAGGAUGCAAGCGUUAUCCGGAAUGACUGGGCGUAAAGCGUCCGCAGGUGGCUGUGUAAGUCUGCUGUUAAAGCGUGAGGCUCAACCUCAUAAAGGCAGUGGAAACUACAUGGCUAGAGUGCGUUCGAGGCAGAGGGAAUUCCUGGUGUAGCGGUGAAAUGCGUAGAGAUCAGGAAGAACACCGGUGGCGAAAGCGCUCUGCUAGGCCGCAACUGACACUGAGGGACGAAAGCUAGGGGAGCGAAUGGG